rnacentral:rRNA from 1 species
AACGAACGCUGGCGGCAGGCUUAACACAUGCAAGUCGAGCGCCCCGCAAGGGGAGCGGCAGACGGGUGAGUAACGCGUGGGAAUCUACCUUUUGCUACGGAAUAACUCAGGGAAACUUGUGGUAAUACCGUAUGUGCCCUUCGGGGGAAAGAUUUAUCGGCAAAGGAUGAGCCCGCGUUGGAUUAGGUAGUUGGUGGGGUAAUGGCCUACCAAGCCGACGAUCCAUAGCUGGUCUGAGAGGAUGAUCAGCCACAUUGGGACUGAGACACGGCCCAAACACCUACGGGAGGCGGAAGUGGGGAAUAUUGGACUAUGGGCGCAAGCCUAAUCCAGCCCUUCGGCGUGAGUGAUGAAGGCCCUAGGGUUGUAAAGCUCUUUCACCGGUGAAGAUAAUGACGGUAACCGGAGAAGAAGCCCCGGCUAACUUCGUGCCAGCAGCCGCCGUAA